AGUCCCACCUCGGUCCCUGGCCCCGGCAGGCCCUGGAACAGACCUUAAAAAACACUUUCCCUUGGGAGGCGGGGAUUCGAGUCUGGUUUGUGUGUGUGUGUGUGCAAGAGGAGGGAGACUUGAGGGGCGCCGGGUCGCCCCCAGGAAUACAACCCCCUGGACCUUGGGGCUGGGGCCGGGGGGUUUUAGUGCAGGGGUUGAGCUGGGGGCAGGCAAAGCAGAAUCGCUUCCUCAGUCUCCUAGGGUUGGGCCUGGCUCUGCCUUCAGUUUCUUUCUUUGUUUAGAUGCCAUUUAUUUACCCAAGUAUUAAAACUUGUGUUGUUUAAAG
rnacentral:lncRNA from 1 species